GGAAUCUCUCUCUAACAGUGGAGAGAGAAGGACUUGGCUGCCUGGGAGAGCAAGUAUUUCAGGGAUGAGAUCCUUCAACCCCACCCCAUUCCAGAAGGGAGUAAGAAUGAAGGGAUGAUUAUCAGUUUGGCUGAAGCCUGCCUUAAUGAACCUCUGGAGACACAGACUUCCUCUCCUUCCCCACUCCUGCCAGGAGAAUUGUGGCCAUGUCAGAGCAUCAGGAAGCUCCAGGGUGAGCUGUGCUCUAGGCAAACCACUACAGAUUUGAUUGAGAAUGCAAGUAUAACCUAGUCCCUGUGCAAGGAAGCUAGUCAAGCCUUGAAAAGAAAAGAUGGAUACCCUAAAGCAAAUGUCUCUCCUUCCCUGUAGCUGGAUGGCUAUGGAUCCACUGCUAAAAUGGGUGGCUGAACAGAACACUCAAUACGAGCAACAACAAAUCUUCCAGCAAAUAGCCAACCACCAGCAGCCAUUUAAUAUACUAUCUAAUGUUCCAAUAGCAGCAACAAGUAAAAUAGGUGAUCACUGUACUAUGGCUGCCUACUAUAGCAGUAUUGGCAAAACUUGAUUCAGCAGUAGCCCCUUUCCCGUCAGGCUUACAAAGAGGAGGCCUGAUAACAAGGCCUUCCUUGAAACUUUGAGGUAAAUGGGAACUGCAGCCUAGUGAUCCCUUGAACAAUAGGCAGUUUUGCUGGCCCCAUACUUAACUGGGAUUGAGCAAACAGCUAAUUGUGCUUUUAGACCUUCUCACUGUCUGAGACUAUAUGCAGGUCAAAGCAGCAUCUUUAAUACUCUGGACAUCUCAUAAGAGAUACUCCACAACAUUUCUGGGAAGAAUGGUAUCCUUUCAGAGCACAGUCCUUCAUGAUUGCUGAAAAGCUAUGAAAUUCAUGUUGGAGAUGGCUCAGACCUGAGAUGAAGACAGGAACUCAGAUGGCAAAGAUGACUUUACUUGAACUCUUCACCCAGAUAUUCCCCACCCUAGGGGAAAGGACUGUCCUAGGCCAUGAAGACCAUGGCACUGUUCCUUUCUUCUGCAAAUCAAAUUUCUUCUCCCUGCUGCACUUCCUAUUCUCCAUUCCACCUACUCCUCAUUUCUCCAUACCUUUCUUCCUCCUCCCAGCCCCCAUACACAUUAAAGGCUCAUUAUCUUUAUUUUUAAAAAAAGUAGUAUAUAUAUUUGGUACUGUAAAAUUCACUUGCCACAACUUAACUCUUCUUUCAUGAUCUUUGGUGCAUGUAUGUAACUUUGCAUGAAGCUCAAGUUAUAUAACAUUUCCAAACUUUUCAAACACCCUAUUGCAUGAAAAGCAACUGGGGGAGAGGGGGGAACCUCAUCUUGAUGCCAAUGCUACAAAGAGCUAGAUAUUUUAAGGUUAAAUUGUUAAAGAGGUAUUUUUAAGAAAAGUUUCUUUCUUUUGCUUACAGUCUUAGCUGAGUAAAGUUUGACAAGCUCUGGGCAGUGUCAACCCUCCCACCCCUAUGAGUCACUGAGUUGCUGUUGCAUCUGGUGCUUUAUUUAAAAAAACUGCUACAGCACAGCUACAAACAUUGUAGGUAACCCUUUCAUGUUUCUCAAUCACGGGGGACCAUGUAAAGCACAAGAAUGAGUGUAUCCUUAAUCACUACUGGCUUCUCCAUUCCUGAAGAAAAUGAUAAGGAGAUCCCCCUUGCUCUGUAAGACGUUUUAUUUUUCUUAAUGAGGCAGCUGCAGAGAGCUAUUUGGUCAGACUUUUUCCUUAUUCACAGCAAAAUCCUUAUGGAAUUAAUAGUUUUGUUAUAUUCAGAGUAUAAAAGUAAACAGCAUAUGGCUUUCGUUAAUAUUAUGUCACAGCACAAUCUGUCAGAAAAUGUAAUUUUUUUUGAGCAAUUUUAUUUAUUUGCAGUUCACAGGGGAAAAACAAAAACAAAAGAUCCUCUGCCUCUAAAAUGCAGCAAACAAUUUCUUAAUUUUUGGUUUGUAUUCCCAGUUUAAAAAGUAUGUCUGUGCAUAUUGCCUUCAAUAACAAAACUAAAAUGGAAAAGCAGUUGCUUUGUUACCAGGAGUUAAAAGGUCAUUUCCCCUUGAUGAAAAGCCUUUUCUAUCAGGUAAGUAGCUGCUACACUCCAUAAAACUGGCAACCCUUCAAAAGGUUUUAGAAACUAGCAACAUUGUUUGAAGAUAAGGUCAUUCGCUUUGUGUUUAGUCCUGCAAACCUUACUAGGUGACCCUUUGAUAUUGAAAUGAAGAGAGCUUUAAAUUGUUUAUCUUUAUACAGCUAAUCACUGGCUGAUCACUUUUUUAAACAAUCAAAAACCAUAGCUGAAUUAAACUGUAUAAAAUAUUGUGAUAUAUUUCCAGCAAGGGGCGAUUGCUACUAAGUAUUGCACAUGGGAUAUGCAUACAACUACACUCAAUGUUUGGUUCUGAGCCCCAGGCUUUCCCAUUAUUUUAUACUCUGUUUGACAGACACUAUUAGCUCAAUAACUGCUGACAUGAUAUUCACUGCUAGUUAUAUUGCUACAGUAGAUUAAUUACUAUACUAGAUUAAUAAAACUGAAUAAAUAAAGUAUGUAAAAUCUGUAACCUCUUAUUGGGAAUAUUAUGCCAGCAUUAAACAAAGCUUGCAUUUAAUAUGUACAAUACAUCAAAAUUUACUUAUGAGCACUAUUGCCAGGCACUAUGUAAAUGUGUAUUGUUAUAUGUGUAAUUAACUGAACUAUAACAUUUAUCUGAUAUACAGCACAAACUUCUCCCUGGAGGAAUGGAUUCUGUUUUUUAAAUACUUUUUCUUAAUUUAUGCUGUGGGUUUUUACAUAUUUUCCUUUAAUGGAACAAGUUAUGAAUCCAUGUCAUUUUCUAACACAGUAAGCAUUUUCAGAAGGAUUGUAUUUUCUCUUUUGUAUUAUAAAAACAAAAAAAAAUGCCCAGUCCCACAUAUAUAGUAAAUACUGUGCCUGGUAAGUGUGCUUCAGGGUCCACAAAACCACUUUCACUAUGUGAACUUUCAAAUUAGCUUAAUUGUUUUAAUACCAUUUCCACGCUAUUUUGGAUACUCUUUAAAAUUAUAUCUCUAUCGCUGUAGAUGUUGCUCAAAAGUAUACAUAAACAGGUUGUGUCUCAGUUUAUAACAUUCAUUAACACUGUAUCCCUCAAAUCACUGUCAAACAACUAAAAAGUACCAAAAUCCUUACCUAAUGGAGCGGACCCAGUACAAAGAUGCAACAAGGGAAUCCAAAGGAUGUAAGCAACAAGUAGGAGAUGCUGAUGGAAAGAUAAGGGUUGCUGCAUGUUGUCCAAGGAUAUGUUUAUCCAUCCAUCUGCAGUUUUUUAGACGUUAACUUUUGAAGUACUAAACUUUGCAAGAAAAGACAUCAGCUUGCCUUUGUGUUUAAAUCUGCCUUUUUUUAAAAAAAAACAAACAAACAAAACACAA